rnacentral:lncRNA from 1 species
UGGACUUCUCCUUCGUCCACUUCUUCUUCAUCCGCACCGGCUCUUCGUCUUUUUCGUGAGACGUCGAUGGCGCCUCCGGUUGGAAGCACCCACUCCCGGUGGGAUUGCAGCCGCUUCGGAUGGAGGUUUCGGGAUCCCAGAUCUUCAGCUCCUCGGAGUCUCCACCUCUUCUUUACUUUCUUUACACCCUAAUUCCCCUCUGGGAAUUCCUUGUAAUCACACGAGCACGCCAUUGUAACCAGAAAUUAUUGAAAUGAAAAGUGUUAUACAUUUUUGAACUGUCUUUCUGGCAUUGUCGUUCUACUGGUAAUACAUCCGCAGGUUAGCGGAAUU